rnacentral:tRNA from 1 species
AUUUAAAUAGCUUAUAUAGUAGUGUAAUAUUGAAGAUAUUGAGGAAUAAAUUUUUUUAUUUUAAAUA